rnacentral:rRNA from 1 species
UACGAAGGGGGCUAGCGUUGUUCGGAAUUACUGGCGUAAGCGCACGUAGGCGGACAUUUAAGUCAGGGGUGAAAUCCCGGGGCUCAACCCCGGAACUGCCUUUGAUACUGGGUGUCUAGAGUCCGGAAGAGGUGAGUGGAAUUCCGAGUGUAGAGGUGAAAUUCGUAGAUAUUCGCAAGAACACCAGUGGCGAAGGCGGCUCACUGGCCCGGUACUGACGCUGAGGUGCGAAAGCGUGGGGAGCAAACAGG